rnacentral:lncRNA from 1 species
GACUAGCUCCUUCGGUGGGGUGACAGCUAAUACAAUGGCCAGCAUCAGUCCCUAUGGGGUCACUUAAGCAAGCACACAGUGGCCUGCAGCUCUGACGAUAAUGGCUGAGAGGGCCACAGACUAACUCCUUCAGUGAUGGAGCUGGAAGCUCAAAAGAAACCUCAAAAGCAUAGAAAACAUAGCGUAAAGGCCCAGGAGAAAUUUGCCAAGAAUUUUCCAUACAGGUUCUCCUGGAUGACAGAGCCCAGGACUGAGUCUCUACAACCCUGGGAAGUGAAGAACAAAUCACUGAGGGACCAGCUGCCCCUGCAGAAGAAUUUAGUGCCGACAAGAUCCAUCCCAGUCCCAGGGCUUGGAGCUCCAGACUUUACAUCGCCAUCCUACUUCCACCCAUCAGCCUUGCGGCCCCCACCAUACUACCUUUGGGAACUCAAAUUACUAAGCCUCCGCUUCCCCAGACAAGUUGACUAAGAAGAACUCCCUCCCCACGUCGAUGCAGACCACUUCUAAACCAGACCAGUGAGGUGAGAGAGUCAUCCAGGGCCCUGUCCUGGAACCCUACUCUGUGUGGCCUCUGUCCAUUGUCUUCUCCUCAGCAUGCUCUUGGAGCACCCACCAAGACUUUAGUGAGGGGAACAGCCUCUGUAGCCACAGGAAACCAGGAGCUUUCCACCUCCCUAUAAAACCACAUCAUACUAAUAAACUGCAUUUUCAAAUCAUGUUUCCCUUUGCACUGGUCACUUUACCUCUGUGAGCCUCUACG